UACGGAGGGUGCGAGCGUUGUCCGGAAUCACUGGGCGUAAAGGGCGCGUAGGCGGCGCGGGAAGUCCGUGGUGAAAGCCCGAGGCUCAACUUCGGGUCGGCCAUGGAUACUCCUGGGCUCGAGCACUGUAGAGGCAGGUGGAAUUCCGGGUGUAGCGGUGGAAUGCGUAGAGAUCCGGAAGAACACCGGUGGCGAAGGCGGCCUGCUGGGCAGUGGCUGACACUGAGGCGCGACAGCGUGGGGAGCAAACAGG
rnacentral:rRNA from 1 species